rnacentral:misc_RNA from 1 species
GUUACUAUCGUUUUAAUUUGAAAUUAAAUAAAUAUCUUAUAAUAGGUAUUUAUUCAUAAUCUGUAGUCUGUUCUUAAGUUAAGCAACUUAAUGCUUGUCUGUUAUUUUUUUUAAUAAAAUACAUGGAAAUAAUACAUACAUAGACAUUUAAUACAAAUAUUACACACAGACUCAGGCGGGACUCGAACCCACAACUCGUGGAGCAGAAAGCAGGGCCACUACCUUCGCCAACGGGCUAGUCAAAAAGAUUAGGUAUUUUAUUUUUCGGUUAAAAAAAAUAAUACUAAACGCCGAAGAAGUAAUGUAUUCUGUGCGUUUUUUUCUAUAAUCUGUAGGAGUGUCUCCUAGAAAUAUCGUCAUGAUCUGAUUGUGAAUUCUAGAUAUAUAAUAGAAGAAAGGCGUAGAAAAUGACACAGGGGAGUAGGUAAACUAUGUACAACUGUGUUCCCAAUAACGAAACGCGUAUUUCAAAAUAACAACGAAUGAUAGUUUAAUAAAUAAUCUAUUUUAAGGAAAACACGUGUCCGAAACCCCUUUAUAUUAAAAUUUAAGUAUUUUGGCCGGUAUGUCACUCAUACAACCCAUUGCAUAAAUUUCGCGAGAAACAUCUAGUUUUAUUUUUGUGUGUCAUACGCGUUUGAUUGUACAUGAAGUGCACUAUUUCCGUCAUUAUCGCUUAGUGUUAUAUCGGUGGACUGGCGCCUGUGCUAUUUAUUACAUUUCUUUGGAUACAUGCCAGGUGCGGUUCGACAGAGAUUCGAUAGCAUGCUAUAGCAAAAGAAAGUCAAAAAGUUCGAUGUCGUCGUUUUUGUUUAAUAUCAAGCACUCUACGUUUUAUUUUUAGCAUUUUUAUUGGUUUUCGGUGUUCACCUUUAAGAGCAUUUUUAGGUAUUUUUUUAAUGAUUAAAUAUGCAGUAUACGAUAAUAUUAAGCCGAGCGUCUACUGUUAGAAAAAAUAAAAAAAAUAAAAAUUUAGUCAAGCUACACUAAAUAAUCAAAUAUCGAUAUCACGAAAGAGUAUAUAUUUGUAAUAUUUUAGGGAAACAAGAUCGUAUCUCAAUAAUAUUUUACGAAAUCACUUCUGUUUAUAAACAGAAGUAAAAUGUUUUUAAACGUAAUCGAAAAUGUUUAAAACGAAAUAUAAGACAAAAGAAAAAAUAGGAAAAUAUUUUUGUAUAAUUAGCAAACUAAACGUUGGUUUUGACACCUAAAUCCAAAA